UGGCUUGGUUUCCUGGGGGGUGGGCUCAGUGCUCUCCACCCCCUCUCAGCUAAGCCUAGAGUAGAGAGGCCAGGUACGCACCUGGGUGGGAGAGGUGCUUCUGCAGGAGCCUUGCCUGGGCUGGCCUAGCCUCACAUUU
ensembl:scaRNA Gm24644 predicted gene, 24644